rnacentral:rRNA from 1 species
CAGUAGCCGCGGUAACACGGAGGGAGCUAGCGUUGUUCGGAAUUACUGGGCGUAAAGCGCACGUAGGCGGCUUUGUAAGUUAGAGGUGAAAGCCUGGAGCUCAACUCCAGAAUUGCCUUUAAGACUGCAUCGCUUGAAUCCAGGAGAGGUGAGUGGAAUUCCGAGUGUAGAGGUGAAAUUCGUAGAUAUUCGGAAGAACACCAGUGGCGAAGGCGGCUCACUGGACUGGUAUUGACGCUGAGGUGCGAAAGCGUGGGGAGCAAACAGGAUUAGAUACCCCAGUAGUCCCUGUCUCUUAUAC